rnacentral:rRNA from 1 species
UACAGGGGGUGCAAACGUUGCUCGGAAUUAUUGGGCGUAAAGCGCGCGUAGGCGGCUACCUAAGUCGGAUGUGAAAGCCCCUGGCUUAACCGGGGAAGUGCACCCGAAACUGGGUAGCUAGAGUGCAAAAGAGGGUCGCGGAAUUCCCAGUGUAGAGGUGAAAUUCGCAGAUAUCAGGAGGAACACCGGUGGCGAAGGCGGGUCUCUGGGCAGUAACUGACGCUGAGGAGCGAAAGCGUGGGUAGCGAACAGG